UACAGAGGGUGCGAGCGUUAAUCGGAAUUACUGGGCGUAAAGGGCGCGUAGGCGGUUAGAUAAGUUAGAUGUGAAAUCCCUGGGCUUAACCUAGGAACUGCAUCUGAUACUGUUUAACUGGAGUGCGGUAGAGGGUAGUGGAAUUUCCGGUGUAGCGGUGAAAUGCGUAGAUAUCGGGAGGAACACCAGUGGCGAAGGCGACUUCCUGGCCUGUUCUUGACGCUGAGGCGCGAAAGCUAGGGUAGCAAACGGGG
rnacentral:rRNA from 1 species